AAAAUUUAAGAAUUGUACUAUGCCUCCGCUUUCAAAGCCACUCAGUGAAGGCUGAGGAUUUCUCGAUGUUUCUAACAGGAAGGAAGUCCUGGAGGAUACAGUAAGAAGAGAGAAGCGAUGUAAAGGUGCAUGUGGCCAUGUUGGGUGGUAGUUCACACCACUGGGAAGAGGCAGCUGGUGGCAGUUAAUCAGGUGACACUUAUGAAAGCUACAUGCCUUUCCUUCUGGCUCUUCCUCUUCAGUUUCUAGGGACAAGAUAAUAGGAUAAUGGAGGAUGAUGCUGUACCAGGAACUAACAAUCCAUCGGCGGAAACAUGGCCCCAAACAGCAUUCAAGACCAUACCCUUCUGCUUUAUUCUUAAGGACAAAAAAUACUGAUGCAGCAACAGCAAUCUAAGUUUACUCAGGGAUCUGUUCCACCUCCUUUUCCUGAAACUGUACCUGCCGGGAGCCAGCAUGAGGAACCCUGCC
ensembl:lncRNA